UCUUGGUCAUUUAGAGGAAGUAAAAGUCGUAACAAGGUCUCCGUCGGUGAACCAGCGGAGGGACCAUUAUCGAGUUAUUCAACUCCCAAACCCUAUGUGAACUUACCACUUGUUGCUUCGGCGCGCGCUUCGGCGCCGCCGAGGACACUUAAACUCUUUGUUUUUAUAAGCAUUUCUGAGUGGCCGAAAGGCAAAAAUACAGAUGAAUCAAAACUUUCAACAACGGAUCUCUUGGUUCUGGCAUCGAUGAAGAACGCAGCGAAAUGCGAUAAGUAAUGUGAAUUGCAGAAUUCAGUGAAUCAUCGAAUCUUUGAACGCACAUUGCGCCCGCCAGCAUUCUGGCGGGCAUGCCUGUUCGAGCGUCAUUUCAACCCUCGAGCCCGACUCUUUUGAGGACGGCUCGGCGUUGGGGGACGGCAGACUCCCCCCGGCAUCUCGCCGGGGACGCCGCCCCCGAAAUCUAGUGGCGGCCCUCCGAGGCGACCUCUGCGUAGUAACUUGUUCUCGCACCGGAAAGCUCAGAGCGGCCACGCCGUAAAACCCCAACUUUUUUCAGGUUGACCUCGAAUCAGGUAGGACUAC
rnacentral:rRNA from 1 species